rnacentral:rRNA from 1 species
ACGCUCGACACCUACGGUAGGCAGCAGUGGGGAAUAUUGCACAAUGGGGGAAACCCUGAUGCAGCGACGCCGCGUGGAGGAAGAAGGUCUUCGGAUUGUAAACUCCUGUUGUUGGGGAAAAAGAGGAUGGUACCCAACAAGGAAGUGACGGCUAACUACGCGCCAGCAGCCGCGGUAAUCUGAGCGGGCUGGCAAGGC